AGGAAAUGGAAAUAAAAAUUUAGAAUUAUCAAUGGAAACCAUUGUGUCUGAGACUGUGUUUGAUGGAGAAGCCAUUGAUCCAGUCUCUGGGAAUGUAUAUGAAUAUAACAGCAGAACAGGUGCAAGAAAAUGGAAGAAGCCCCCCAAGUACCAGGAGGAGUCCUUGGCAAACAUAUACUCCGUCCCAGAGGCCCACCCCACUGAAGGGUCUACAUCCUUAAAAAUUCCUAAGCAAGGAUAGCAUUUUCUAGUGUCUGUGAAUUAUUGUUGUUGGGUUUUUUUUUAUGUAUAUGAAUGCUGUGGGCAGUUUUUUCUUGACUAUGUUAAAUUGUAGAGGUGAGGUCAACUAUGUUUUUAGCUCUCUGUAAUCUUCUAGUUUAGGGCGUCUGGAUGAGGACAGUAGGAGCAGUCAACUUAGAGUCUGAAUGUGUUUUGCAGUAGAGACUAAACUGAUAUGUUAGUUGCCUUAUUUGGCCCAGUAGAAAAAAUGCUUCUUUAGACCAGAGACUUUGUUUUGCUCAAUGCUAUAAUCUGAACACACAUUUGCACAGAAUGGGAACUAUACACACACACACACACACACACACACACAUAGUGAUCAAAUGAUUUCGAGUACAUAAAUUUAGAUCUCUUGCCUUUAAUUCAAAUUACUUGUUCUCCUAUGACUCAUGGAACAGAAAUGAGAAU